rnacentral:rRNA from 1 species
UACGUAGGGUGCAAGCGUUAAUCGGAAUUACUGGGCGUAAAGCGUGCGCAGGCGGUUCGUCGUGUCUGAUGUGAAAGCCCCGGGCUCAACCUGGGAAUGGCAUUGGAAACUGGCGGACUAGAGUGUGGCAGAGGGGGGUGGAAUUCCGCGUGUAGCAGUGAAAUGCGUAGAGAUGCGGAGGAACACCGAUGGCGAAGGCAGCCCCCUGGGCUAACACUGACGCUCAGGCACGAAAGCGUGGGGAGCAAACAGG